rnacentral:lncRNA from 1 species
GCCAGGGAAUAAUGGAGCCGUGCGGAAUCCAUCGCAGGAAGUGGAGCAGAGUCAUGGCCAUUACUGCGGCCCGCCAGGGAGUGCAGGCCUGUCGGCUGAAGUUCGGCUGGAGUGUCUGGUGGAGAGAGGUGGUUAGCUACCCGUUUGAGAGGAGCCCAGAGUUUGGCUCCCGUAGGAGUCCGGACGAAGUCUUCCUUCAGCCGAAGUCGGAGACGAGGUCCGACUCUCGUGAGAG